rnacentral:lncRNA from 1 species
ACACGCAAUUGGCCAAGUGGAAGAUAUAUGCCAUUAAAAUACAAAAAAAAGUUCUGGCUGGGUAAUAGGAGCUCCGCAAAGUUUAGUAUGCUCAACUAGUAAUCCGGUCAAACUUCAGGUAUUUUUGUGAGUAUUCUCCCAUAAAAGAAUAAAUCUAACUUUAAUCAAAUUUAUAACUCUUCCCAUAUUAUUUAGGAUUUAUUAAUUUUUAAAUU